rnacentral:lncRNA from 1 species
GGAAAUAGCCUUUUGCAGAAAUGCAAGGUAAGGUUGCGUACAAUAGACCCUUGUGGUCAUGCCCUUCCCCGAACCUCGCGCAUAGCGGGAGCUUAGUGCAGGGGCUGCCCUUUUAUUCUAUUAUUAAUAUUAGAUAUUCCAAUGAGGCUGCGUCUAUUUCUAUAUGAUAUGUCUUUCAUUUAGCUGAAUAUAUAUCCUUUAAGGCUGCUUCAUCCGAGAUUAUUAAUUUAGUGUUUUUCUUUUAUUAUUUUCGUCCUUUCUGCAGGGGAGAUCCAGGAAUUAUGUUACCCUUAGAUAAUUAAGGAGUCACUGCAUAUCUUGUUUUCUGCAGUCUGUUGAUGUGAUUGACUUCAUUCCAAUAAAGAACCUGGUUUGUGUUUAUUUUUUCAAGCAUUGUGGAGUUUAAAAUAGCUUCGGUUUUCUUAUUGGUGUGCUUCCCAACCUCGUUACCUUCUUGAAGGUAGGGAUAAGGUUUGCGUACAUUUACCCUCCCCAGACUCCACUUGUGAGAUUACACUGGG